rnacentral:rRNA from 1 species
GACGAACGCUGGCGGCGUGCCUAAUACAUGCAAGUCGAGCGGACGAAUCGAAAGCUUGCUUUUGAUUCGUUAGCGGCGGACGGGUGAGUAACACGUGGGCAACCUGCCCUGUAGACGGGGAUAACACCGAGAAAUCGGUGCUAAUACCGGAUAACACGAAAUGUCGCAUGACGUUUCGUUGAAAGACGGCGCAAGCUGCCGCUACAGGAUGGGCCCGCGGCGCAUUAGCUAGUUGGUGAGGUAACGGCUCACCAAGGCGACGAUACGUAGCCGACCUGAGAGGGUGAUCGGCCACACUGGGACUGAGACACGGCCCAGACUCCUACGGGAGGCAGCAGUAGGGAAUCUUCCGCAAUGGACGAAAGUCUGACGGAGCAACGCCGCGUGAGCGAAGAAGGCCUUCGGGUCGUAAAGCUCCGUUGUUAGGGAAGAACAAGUAACGCAGUAACUGGCGUUACCGUGACGGUACCUAACGAGAAAGCCACGGCUAACUACGUG